AGUGAACGCUGGCGGUAGGCCUAACACAUGCAAGUCGAACGGCAGCACAGUAAGAGCUUGCUCUUACGGGUGGCGAGUGGCGGACGGGUGAGGAAUACAUCGGAAUCUACUUUUUCGUGGGGGAUAACGUAGGGAAACUUACGCUAAUACCGCAUACGACCUACGGGUGAAAGCAGGGGAUCUUCGGACCUUGCGCGAUUGAAUGAGCCGAUGUCGGAUUUGCUGGUUGGCGGGGUAAAGGCCCACCAAGGCGACGAUCCGUAGCUGGUCUGAGAGGAUGAUCAGCCACACUGGAACUGAGACACGGUCCAGACUCCUACGGGAGGCAGCAGUGGGGAAUAUUGGACAAUGGGCGCAAGCCUGAUCCAGCCAUACCGCGUGGGUGAAGAAGGCCUUCGGGUUGUAAAGCCCUUUUGUUGGGAAAGAAAAGCAGCAGGUUAAUACCCCGCUGUUCUGACGGUACCCAAAGAAUAAGCACCGGCUAACUUCGUG
rnacentral:rRNA from 1 species